rnacentral:rRNA from 1 species
GACGAACGCUGGCGGCGUGCUUAACACAUGCAAGUCGAACGGAAAGGCCUCUUUCGGGGGGUACUCGAGUGGCGAACGGGUGAGUAACACGUGAGUAACCUGCCCUUGACUUUGGGAUAACUUCAGGAAACUGGGGCUAAUACCGGAUAGGAGCUCCUGCUGCAUGGUGGGGGUUGGAGAGUUUCGGCGGUUGGGGAUGGACUCGCGGCUUAUCAGCUUGUUGGUGGGGUAGUGGCUUACCAAGGCUUUGACGGGUAGCCGGCCUGAGAGGGUGACCGGCCACAUUGGGGCUGAGAUACGGCCCAGACUCCUACGGGGGGCAGCAGUGGGGAAUAUUGCACAAUGGGUGGAAGCCUGAUGCAGCAACGCCGUGUGCGGGAUGACGGCCUUCGGGUUGUAAACCGCUUUCGCUCAUGACGAAGCUUUGUGUGACGGUAGUGGGUAAAGAAGCACCGGCUAACUACGUG